rnacentral:rRNA from 1 species
CGCCAGACUCCUACGGGAGGCAGCAGUGGGGAAUAUUGCACAAUGGGGGAAACCCUGAUGCAGCGACGCCGCGUGGGUGAAGGAGUACUUCGGUACGUAAAGCCCUAUCAGCAGGAAAGAAAAUGACGGUACCUGACUAAGAAGCCCCGGCUAACUACGUGCCAGCAGCCGCGGUAAUACGUAGGGGGCAAGCGUUAUCCGGAUUUACUGGGCGUAAAGCGCUCGUAGGCGGUAUGUCAAGUCAAGGGUGAAAUCCCCGCGCUCAACGUGGGAACUGCCUUUGAAACUGGCAAACUGGAGUGUGUGAGAGGAUAGUGGAAUUCCAGGUGUAGGAGUGAAAUCCGUAGAUAUCUGGAGGAACAUCAGUGGCGAAGGCGACUAUCUGGCACAUAACUGACGCUGAGGAGCGAAAGCGUGGGUAGCAAACAGGAUUAGAUACCCCAGUAA